CGCAACGUCACGUGGGAAUUUCGUGGCCAAAUUCUUGUUUAAAACUGGACAGCGGCUGAACGACUGACAGACCGUGCCCUACAGAUACAGUUCAAAUGUCGGUCGUUGCCAUAACGUUACAGUAGAGCCGCACUCGCUUCUUGUCGCGUCGUCGGUGCUUGGACUUUUGUAGUCGCUAGCCGACUGCCCUGGACCCUGGCACAGUGUCCUGCUACGUCAAAGGAGAAUGAAUGGAUGGCCGAUUCUGUCGAAGAAGCUGCGGUGUCCACUGAUCAAAAACGUGUGCUAUCCAAGAUAAAGCAAACGCAAAAGCAAUAUGGUCAAUGGGAGCUGUUUGAACCCCUUAUACUACUAGGAACCUUAUACUAGCUCAAUCAUAAAUUCUUGACUAGUUGGAAACUCGUUGCUAUUGGAAGAAUGUUUUCGAGUUCGGCCUAACGAGUUACAAUAGGGUAACUUGGAAGUUUUGUCUUAUUGCGUUCUAAUACGGAGUCGGCACCUAUGAGUUCGAGUCUUCAACACAGAUACUAUAUGACCAAGCAAUAGCGAUAGGGCGUUGCAUUUCCAGUAUAAGGCUCUAGAAUGUUUUGCCAAAGUUGCCUUUAUACUGUUUAGAAGAUCAGUUAGUCUUCGUCUAAGCGUCCAAUUUGACCCCUUUACAACCUAUGCAUUUUAGAACUGCUAAUUGCAUAAGAGGUAUAGUUAACUGUUAUAAAAGGUGAA